UGUUUCUUUGUGUUUGUAGAGGCUCAACCUUUAUCUAGUACUUUCUGUAAAAAUUGACAUUAUCUUGACAUCCGUUAACUGACAAAGGAACCAAAUGAAUAUUGUUUUACCUUAAUAUCACUAGCAUGAAGUCCGGUCCAUGAAGUAUCAAGUAUUUUUCCGUAUCAGUAUUUAAGUUACUCAGAGCUUUCUCUUGCCUUGGUUAAAAUACUGGUUAACAAAUUAACCAGAUUGUCAUUUGUCUUGUUUUAAACCAUGACUCAAGUUGCUGCUGAAGGUAACAAUAGGCAGAAAAUAUGUCGAGUUUGUUCAGACAAAGCAAUGGGAUUCAACUUUAAUGCCAUAACCUGUGAAUCAUGCAAAGCCUUUUUCCGACGUAAUGCUUUUAAGGGUGAGAAACUUCGGUGUCCCUUCAAUAAUGAUUGUAUUAUUGAUAAAUCAACUAGACGUUUUUGUCAAAAGUGUCGCUUGGAGAAAUGUUUACAGGUUGGAAUGAAAAGAGAAUGGAUUUUAUCCGAGGAACAAAAGAAAAUCAAACGAGCCAAGAUAGCGGAAAACCGUAUGAAGCGGACUGAUAACCCUUCGGAUGGUCAAAAAGAGGAUAGAUCCAAAAGUUUGAGUAGUAGUAAAAAGGAUUAUUCAGGUCGGGAUCCAGCUACACCUUCAUCAAAUUUUUCGUGUUCAUCUUCAUCUUCUUCUCAUUUUGGUGAUGACAAUGGUGCAUCUCAAUGUUUAUACAAUUUUUCUGGUAAUUUGGCUACCUCACCUUUUCGCGAUUCAUCAAGAAAAGAAUCAAGUGUUCAUCACUCUGCUGCACUCGAUCCUUUACCCAUUAGCAAUGAUCAAUCCAAAUUGAUAACAAACAAAACUCCGGUUGAUAGUGUUGAAAACCUUGAAGCAAGAGCCGAUAAAUUUGCAAGAUCUACUGCUUCAGCACCUCAUUUACUCGAUAGUGACCUUCUUCAUAACAGUUGGAUAUCAUUGAUAACAGAUCCCUCAGCUAAUCCAGUUCCAACUACAAGUAAACCAAGUUUAACAACAAACCUGUUAGGUAAUCACUAUAAUGGUCUUAUUAAUUAUCAUGUGAAUGUAGGUGAUUCCUCUGAUACAGGUAGACCAGCAACUAUACCAUUAAUGCCAAAUUUAAGGUUCCAUACUCAACCAGGAUCUCGAUUGGAACCAGUGACAGACAAUAGACGAGAUUUUGAUGAAAGAGAAGAAUCUUGGAAGAUCAAAGUUAACCAUCGUAUAUUAGAGGCCAAUUUUGUACCAAUUUACUUGCGAAAUGAUAAGAAGGAUUUAAACACUCUCAAUGAAAUGGAGAUUGACAAGCUAAACGAGUUAGUUCAAGCAUUUUCAGCAAUUGAUGAACCCAUUUUGGAUCAAUCGUGCGCUGAAGAUUCGGGAAUAUCUGAUGUUAUCAGAUUUUCUGACCUCGCUAUUAGAAGGUUAAUCAAAUGGUGUAAAAAGAUUCAAGCUUUUGCAAGCUUGUGCCUUGAAGAUCAAAUGGCGCUUCUCAAAGCAGGAUGUCUCGAAAUGCUUUCAAUGAAAGCUUCAUUUAAUUUUAAUCUUGACGAUGAAAGUUGGCAGGAUGCCUACACAAAAAAUGGUUUAAAGUUGACCAUAUUUCGCCAAGCAAGCGAAAAGCUUUAUGAAGCUCACCGUCAAUUCAUCAGAACUUUCAAUCAACGCUGGAGAACUGACCAUAAAGUAAAUCUACUCCUUGUUGCAAUUGUUUUAUUCAAUCCAGAUCGACCUAAUUUGCUUCACCCAGCAACAGUCAGAUUAGAGCAUUAUACUUAUAUUUACCUGUUACGUCGUUACCUGGAAACUAAGAGUGAUUCUCUGUGCCAAGCUCGAACCGAUCAUUAUAAUUUAAUGAUGAAAAUUGAGGACCUUCGAGAGCUUCAUGAUAAAACUGUACGACUCUAUUCGGAUGCAGGACCAGAAGUGGUUGGACCAUUAUUAAUUGAAAUACUUGAUCUAAAAUGAAUCCUAAAUUGUUGAUAAUAGAGUGUAUUUAUCAAUGGAAUCAUAUUGUUAAUAUAAUUAUACAAUGUAAAGAAAAUUAGAACAUUUUUAUAUCAAAAAUUGUCAAUAUUAUCAAGAUUUUUGACCAAAAAAAUUGUUUAGAAGCAACUUUCGACUGGAUCCAAUCACGGUAGAAGUAAACAUCAGUGGAACCUUCCCUGUCACCUUCAAGAUAUUCAUCGCCAAAUGAAAUUAUUCCAACCAAUUCAUCUUGACUCGGAGUUUUACCCUGCACAAUAACUGGUCCACCAGAAUCACCAAUGUAUACAAGAUCUUCAUCCGUUCUUUGGGAAUUUAGGUGAUCGGCCACUUUCCGUCAACCCAUAACCAGCUAACACCACAGAGGUUCCAAUUGGAUAGUGUUUUGAAGCUAAAUUGGCAAUUCCAUUCUUGGCCGACGAUGAAGAGGAUAAAGGCGACUGGGUUAAAUCCAGUUUGAUGAGUGCAAUAUCAUUAAUUGGGAUUCCUUCAUCAUUAACAGUGUAAUUUUCAUGGACAAUUAAUUUGGUUCCAUUAUUGACUUGCCAUUCAAAUGGUUUUCUUGACAAAAACAGACCUCUCUUUGAUUUUGAUUGGACCAUAACCAUCUUAGCGGGUUGACCAUUAUCCCUAUUCAAUGGAAACAAAUGUAUUUACUUAAUUUAAUUACGGACAUGUUUGGGUUUACUUUUCAACUUGAAGUAUUGGCCAUAAAGUGUAUUAUAAAUGUUAAACUUACCACACACAAUGAGCUGCUGUGAUUACGAUUGAAUCCUUAAUCAAGGUUCCACCACAGGUUGGAAAAAAAUCACCCAAUUGUGUAAUAACCUGGACAUAAUAAGGAAACUCUCCAGGUUCAGCAAAUUUACCUCCAAUGAUUCUUGGACCAAGUUCUUGUUGAAAAUUUGAUUCCUGGCUUGAUUUUGAUAUUAACCUACCAUUAACGCCAACAUAAUUCACAAUGGUUAACAAACAAAGUAUUGCUGUUAUCAAAUAGGAGUCCAUUGAACAUUCACUUCUUAAACUCUGUAAAGCAUGUAAAAAGCUCCACAGGUUAAGUUGAUUAUUUAUUGACAAUCAAAGCUUUAUAAGGUACCGGUAAUUUGCUAUUACCGAGGUCAACACAAUUUACCUUCAUAUUGAUCAAAGAGCGAUUCAGUUUUAACAAGCGAUCAUGGAAAUAUUGCAAUAUUUCUUACAGUUGUAAUCUUUUUACAAUGAAGUCAAAAUAAACGGUAAAUAGCAAGAGAUUCACAUUGAA